CGUCAUUCCUGUUUGAACGUGGAGCAAACGGCACAAACUGCGCACCAUUAAUGGGCCAGACAGACUGUCUCAGAGCCCCGGCACAAACUACAGCGUCAGGAGCUGUUUUUAGCUACCUGCUCUCACUGGGGUUCGGAGCGCUAACAAUGCAAGGGAGGAGAGUGAGAGGGACCAGCAGAAGGAGUGAGGAUCUGCCUGUUUUCUUCAUAAGGAUCACAAGUGUCUUUGAAUUGGAAGUGAGAGUGAAUUCAAAGAAUGGGCCAACUGCGAUUAAUCAAUUUCCUGUGUUAAUUGGAGCUAUUAAGGCUUUUAUCACAGUCAAACUGGAGUGACUUGUACCAAGGUGGCAUCAUCAAGGUCACCAUUCCUACAAAGGACAAAAAGACAUUGCAUUUGAAGGACAUUCUUGGCUGUUCUCAAAAGGAAUAAAAUUCAAUAGGUGGAAUGGAAGAUGGAGUAACACAAGAAGUUUCUAUUCUGAUGGUUUGUAUAAAUUCUCUAGCCAAAAUCCACUUUAACAUAUUUUGACGGUCUCUGCCAGUGGUUCUGUAUAACUGCUUCAAAGUGGUCCUAUUAAAGCAUACUGGUCAAGUUUUGUUCUUACAAUUAGUUGCAUACAAAUCUCCCUCCUGGAAUGGUUUAAAUGUUUAAUUUCCAAUUAGACUGUAUUGUCUCUAUAACAUAGCAGGAACCAGUAAAAUAUUAGUU